UCCAGGGUAGCCUAGUGGACAUGGCAUCUGCCCGGUAAACGGACCACUGUGAAUUCGAUUCUCAUCCCUGGAC
rnacentral:tRNA from 1 species